AACUGAACAAUUUGCAGUUGCGUUAGUACAUUAAUUAGCUCAGAUCAUUGCCACGCCCACAAGAUGCCGAAAAUCAAAAAAUAUAUAGAUAAUUUUAAAAGGAAGGUAUUGGAAUGCAAAGCAGACCAAAGCUUUUCUAGCACUCAGAUAACGAUAAUGGAGAUCUCGGCGCCUAUGUCUGACUUUUUAUUAUGAUUUUCCUUCUAUAUUCUAAAGCUCAUUUAAGUUUAAAGCCAAGGGCAAAUAAAAUGCAUAGGACAUCCUUUAGUCCCAACCCAUCGCAUUUCCGAUUGUCUUUAUAACAUAUGCAAAUGUACAAGGAGGGUUCCAAAGUAAAUAGGACAGAACAAAUUUUUUUUUUUUUGGCAAAAUCAAUUUAUUUUAUUCAAACUAGUCUCCUUCUGCUUCAAUACAGCUUUCUGCACGGUCCAAAAGCAUGUCGAACGAGUCUUUUAGCUCGUUGGAAGGUAUGGCCGCAUGUAUGCCGGUGCAAGCCUUUUGAAUGGCCUAGACCUCUGCAUAACGCUUUCUUUUCAUGAGCAAAUGCAUUUUUCCGAAAAGGAAAAAGUCGCAAGGUGCCAUAUCAGGUGAAUACGGGGAGUGGUUGAUGGUUAAAAUGUGAUUUUUGGUCAAAUAAUCGGUCACAAGCGUCGAUUGUUGAGACGGCGUUUUUGGUCGUCAGUCAAUUUGUGCGGAACAAACCGUGCACACACCUUCCGUAAGCCCAAACGUUCGGUCAAAAUGCGAUAAAUCGAUGUUUUGGAGAUGUUCAAUUCCAUUUCCAUGAAUUUCAAUGAUGAUUUCGGCUGAUUUUUGAUGAAUUCACGCACAGUUUCGAAUUUCCGGUGAUCACGGAUUUUGAUUGGCCCACAUGUUGAUCGUCAUUUAUGUCCUCACGACCACUAUGAAAACGUUGAAACCACUCGUGCACUCUGCUACGGGAUAGGAAAUCAUCGUCAUAAAUUUGUUUCAUCAAUUGAAACGUUACGCUCAUUUUCGCACCGAUAACACAAACAUACUGACACUUAAAACGCAAGAACUUCACUUCCAAUCAAUGAAAUGUCAAAAUCGAUGGAGAUAGCAGAUUCUAACACACCAGUCGACAUAUAGAUGGCGCCACCAGGGGCGCUAGAUUCGAAAAGUCCUGUUUACUUUGGAACGCACCUUGUAUAUCGAUCAAUAUGUGUGAUAUUACCAUUUGUUAAAUUUAUUUGCUUUACUUCUUUUAUAUACUCUUGAAAACAGUAGUUUAUUUAUUAUAAUUACCAA